AAACGAUUAAAGUCAGUCGUACCGAUGGGUAAUCAGCCUUUUGGGUGCGAUUAUGUGGUACGUGGAAAGAUUUCACGGUUGCAUAUUUGUGCCUUUUGGGUGUACUUGCUCGUAUGGUAGGUUAACAUCAAUUUCGGACAUCAUAAAAUGGCGGGAGGAAUGUAGCUUCUCCGGAAGUGUUAUAGCCUCUGGUAGAUGUGAUGACCGAGAUUGAGGAUUGCAACGAAUACCCUCAGGGCUACCUGUCUGGCCUCUGGUCGUCGCUUUGGUGCCGAAAGCGUGCUUACGGUAUUAAAGUAGGUGGUCAAAAGGUUAGCGCGGGUUAAAUUCGUUAAGGAUGUUGACGUAAUGACUUUAAACGA
rnacentral:rRNA from 1 species